CCCUUAGAUGUUCUGGGCCGCACGCGCGCUACACUGAUGCAUUCAACGAGCCUAUCCUUGACCGACAGGUCCGGGUAAUCUUUGAAUCUGCAUCGUGACGGGGAUAGAUUAUUGCAAUUAUUAAUCUUCAACGAGGAAUGCCUAGUAGGCGCAAGUCAUCAGCUUGCGUCGAUUACGUCCCUGCCCUUUGUACACACCGCCCGUCGCUCCUACCGAUUGGGUGUGCUGGUGAAAUGUUCGGAUCGGCCGUUUGUCGCGGUUUCCGCGGCUCGUGGCUGAGAAGUUCAUUAAACCCUCCCACCGAGAGGAAGGAGAAGGCGUAACA
rnacentral:rRNA from 1 species